GGAAAAGGUAGUACUUUCCUUUCUGUUUUUGUCAGCCAUAAUGUAGACAUCAAAAUUUUUGUGCUCGUCACGUAUCUAUCGACAUCCAUGUCGAAAGUUGUGUAUUUACUACCGCAUUAGCGGUCCGGGAGUUGGCGACCUCUCGCUGCCCCAUGCCUGAGGUGUGAUCCAUAAGCUUCGCCCAUAACAUCUGGGCACCCCAGGGCUUGUCCCGUGGUUCUACGGCGAUGGGAGCCGCCAACAAAUAUCCCAGGAAAGUUUUCGACGACUAAAUCCUAAGCAUGCAGCAUGGGUAGUUAACCUGUUUCGGCCACGCGUAUCUUGCAAUUUCAUCGACUAUUUCAUCAAACUACCCCUUUGGCAUCGUAAACUACAUUUAAUUCCUGAGUAAUAUUUUAAUUCUUUCUGUAUCUUAAAUUUACGUUAAUUAUUUUGAAAAUGUAACUAAUUAAUAAUUUUUUUUGAAAAUGUAACUAAGUAUAAUUGUUAUGGGGGCCCCAUUUUUGUUUUGACUGUACGAAUACUCAAUUAAUACUCUUUAUAGUGUUUUAAAUAAAUAUGUUUUGUUAUGGCUGACCCGA